rnacentral:rRNA from 1 species
CAAUAGCGUAUAUUUAAGUUGUUGCAGUUAAAAAGCUCGUAGUCGGAUUUUGGCUGAGAACGAUCGGUCCGCCGUUAGGUGUGCACUGAUUGGUCUCAGCUUCCUGGUGAGGAGGUGUGCUUCACGGCCACUUAGUCACCGCGGUUACUUUGAAAAAAUUAGAGUGUUCAAAGCGGGCUUACGCUUGAAUAUAUUAGCAUGGAAUAACACCAUAGGACUCCUGUCCUAUUUCGUUGGUCUCGGGACGGGAGUAAUGAUUAAGAGGAACAGUUGGGGGCAUUCGUAUUUCAUUGUCAGAGGUGAAAUUCUUGGAUUUAUGAAAGACGAACUUCUGCGAAAGCAUUUGCCAAGGAUGUUUUCAUUGA